GACGAACGCUGGCGGCAUGCUUAACACAUGCAAGUCGAACGCAUGGUAUGUGCUUGCACAUACUGAUGAGUGGCAGACGGGUGAGUAACACGUGGGAACUUACCCUUUAGACUGGGACAACCAUUGGAAACGGUGGCUAAUACCGGAUAAGCCCUGAGGGGGAAAGCCGAAAGGCGCUAAAGGAGAGGCCCGCGGCAGAUUAGGUAGUUGGUGGGGUAAAGGCCUACCAAGCCGAUGAUCUGUAGCUGGUUUGAGAGGAUGAUCAGCCACACUGGGACUGAGGCACGGCCCAGACUCCUACGGGAGGCAGCAGUGGGGAAUAUUGGACAAUGGGGGGAACCCUGAUCCAGCCAUGCCGCGUGUGUGAAGAAGGCCUUAUGGUUGUAAAGCACUUUAAGCGAGGAGGAGGCUCUUUUGGUUAAUACCCAAGAUGAGUGGACGUUACUCGCAGAAUAAGCACCGG
rnacentral:rRNA from 1 species